rnacentral:sRNA from 1 species
AUGGCUGUCGUCAGCUCGUGCCGUGAGAUGUUGGGUUAAGUCCCGCAACGAGCGCAACCCUUGUCCUUAGUUGCCAGCACGUAAUGGUGGGAACUCUAAGGAGACUGCCGGUGACAAACCGGAGGAAGGUGGGGAUGACGUCAAGUCAUCAUGGCCCUUACGACCAGGGCUACACACGUACUACAAUGGGGGGUACAGAGGGUAGCGAAGCCGCGAGGUGAAGCCAAUCCCAGAAAACCUCUCUCAGUCCGGAUCGCAGUCUGCAACUCGACUGCGUGAAGUCGGAAUCGCUAGUAAUCGCGAAUCAGCAUUGUCGCGGUGAAUACGUUCCCGGGCCUUGUACACACCGCCCGUCACACCAUGGGAGUUGGUUGCUCCAGAAGCAGGUAGUCUAACCGGUCGCAAGACUGGAGGACGCUUGCCACGGAGUGGUCAAUGACUGGGGUGAAGUCGUAACAAGGUAGCCGUAUCGGAAGGUGCGGCUGGAUCACCUCCUUUCGAGAACGACAUGGAUUCAUUCCAUGGCGUCCACACAAGACACCUGCAACGUAGAAGAUAGGGCCUAGGGCUCGGCCCAUCGGGCUGCAGACACCCAAGCUCGCGCGGGCAACCGCCACUCUUUGGGUCUGUAGCUCAGGUGGUUAGAGCGCGCCCCUGAUAAGGGCGAGGUCGGUGGUUCGAGUCCUCCCAGACCCACCAUUGACAGCAAGAGCGCCCUCACCCCGUACCCUCUCCCGCAAGCGGGCGAGGGGGAGUGAUCGUCGCGCAGAGCGCGACACCGUUACUGAUAAAGGACGGGGCUGUAGCUCAGCUGGGAGAGCACCUGGUUUGCAACCAGGGGGUCGUCGGUUCGAUCCCGAUCAGCUCCACCAGUUUUGGCAUCUUCUACACUGCGCACACAUAAAGAAUUUGAAGCGGUCAGGCGUUGAGGCCUGACCGCGUUCUAUGACAAUUUGGGACGUAACAAGCGUCUGAACUUUUAUCGAGUUUAGAUGUGUCGUUGAGGCAAUUAGGCGAAAUACAGUUGAUUGUGUGAUCCGGAGGCGACUUCGGGUUAUAUGGUCAAGCGAAUAAGCGUCUACGGUGGAUGCCUUGGCGGUCAGAGGCUAUGAAGGACGUGGCAGCCUGCGAAAAGCGUGGGGGAGCUGGCAACAAGCAUUGAUCCCGCGAUAUCCGAAUGGGGAAACCCGG